AUGCCCGACACUAUCACUUGGAAGUUCACUACUAACGGCCACUACUCGGCGGCGGCGGCCUACAAAGCGCAGCUUUAUGGCCAUACUGACACGACCAUGAUUCCGACCGUUUGGAAGAUUUGGGCAUCUCCUAAAUGCAAGUUCUUCGCAUGGCUGGCAAUCAACAAUAGGAUUUGGACGGCAGACAGGCUUCAGCGUCGUGGGUGGCAAAACUGUAAUCUUUGUCCACUAUGCAAGCAAGUUCAGGAGUCAACAACCUACCUUCUAUUCCAAUGCCGAUACACUAUCAGAGUUUGGCGUAUGAUCAAAGAUUGGCUUGGUCUCCAUGAUGUGCAUCCUUCCAAUUGGAGUGAUGCGACUUCCAUAAAAGAGUGGUGGAGCCACAAUGCUAACAAGAAGACCCAAUCGCGAAGGCCGCUUGCUUUCUUGAUGCUGCUCAUCUCUUGGGAGUUAUGAAAAGAGAGGAAUGCACGAAUCUUUCGUAACAAUCCGGUGGGAGUCGCCGUUGCUAGGAUUAAAGGAGCGAGGCAUUUGAAUAACAUAAUGCCGCGAGAGUGA
rnacentral:rRNA from 1 species